CGCCUGUAACUUGACCUUCCACUAGGACUUCCCAGCUACCAUCUUCCACCUUCUGGUGUUAGAAUUUAAUGAGGUCACACGUCUAUGGCACCUAGAACAUGGAAGGACUCAAACUUCCACUUCCAGUCAGUAUGUGACAAGUCUCAUGAGCUUCAGAGAAACAGAAUGGAGAACGGCAAGCAGCUUGAUUCAUAGACUUUAUCAGCUUCUUCUCCACCCAGCGGUUUCUGCAGACAACCUAGCCUGUACAGGACACACGGUUCACUCUGGCCAAGCUGGGGAGCAGUGGGUCAGGCAUCAAGGUUAGGGGUGGGCAGCAGCUGAGACCGGAUCAGUGGAGCCCAGUGCUUGAGGAGGGAAAUGGGAGCUGUGUGAGAAGGCUGCCACGCAGAACCAGGAGGGAAGGAUGGCCAUAGGGAGAGAAAGGUGCAGGACAGCUGCAGGGAGGGCACAGGGAGUGGGAGGGGGCCCUAUGGUCACUGCCUAAGGGAUGGAGGAGGUGAGACAGGGUGCCUGUGCAGGUGGGGAUGAGGGUGGGGAGAGUCCAUACACAUUUUCUGUGGCAGGAACAAGACAGACCACUGUAUAAAAGGGACUGUACAACGUAACCUAUGAUACAAUGUUUACAUAUGAUACAAGGCUCUUCCCCUCUUUGAAUUUUAAAAAAUAAAUUUACAAUUCCAGAGCUUUUGGUAAAAAAUAUAUACACCCCCAGAGCAGGAGCAGCAGCUGCUUUGGCUGCUGCUGCCACUGCCUCUUCGGAAAGGAGAGAGGUGGGCCAGAGAGAAGAGGGAUGAGGCUGUGCCAGGAAACCUCACCCAGUAGCUGCCAGGAGCCCUGUGCCCCUCGGCCCUGGAGGCCCAUGCAGGAGACAGUGGGAAGACAGAGAGGUAUUAAAGGCAUCACCACAGUCCAGUUUUGCCUUUAUGGUCUUGGCCAUUCACUCCCCUCACUUCUGGGGGCUGCCUGCCCAGGUACAGGGGUCCACCCCCUCCCAGCUCAGAUGGGGAAGACCCAGGAGGAGUCAAGACAGGGGGAAGGAUAGAGACCAUGUUGUGGGUGUCCCACAGAAGGGCCAGAAGGGGGUUGAUUGCUCCCCUCUGAGCAGUAGACACUCCAAAAGCAGGAGUGUGGGCAGCAGACACCCCCAACUCCUGAUACCGCCACAUUCCACCCUGCAAUGCAGAAGGAGUGUCCUGCAGGCAGCUUAGGCCUGUGUUUCCCUGAGCAUCUUUUACCCUCUCAUUGGACCCCACCCAGACACCUGGGGAAGCCUGAGUUGGGGACUCACAAGGGCUGACGGGUAACCCCUCCCACCUGCUGCUGCCCCCUGCCCCGCGAACAGCUUCACCCACAGGCUUGGGCAUGCAGGGCAGCAAAAGGAGCUGAGCAGGGAGUGGUGGGGGUGGGGAAAGCACCCCACACCAUCACAGGGCAGAGUAGACCAGGGUAGCACCAAACCCUACACACAUCACCCUCUCUCAAUUACCAGAUGCAUUCCUGCUUCUUAAAGGGGACAGGCAUACACACACACAGACACAAGGGCAAUAUAAUAUUCCAGGGGGGUACAUCCAGGGCUCCCAGCCCUGACCAGGGAGAAGGCGGACAGGGGUGGAAAAGACAGCUGCCAAUUCCCUCCCACAAUUCCACUCUGUGAGACAGGAGGGUGGGCAGCUUUCCUGUCUGCUAGGGAGGAGAUUGGAAACUCCAUCUCUAGAACGGACCUCAAUGGGAGAAGACAGAGGAAGGAGCACAGUGCCCCCCUUCCCUGCGAGGGCAGGAACCAGCAGAAUGUGGUUUUGGCUUGAAGGAGCAAAGGGGAGAGGACUUCAGCAGGAUGAACAGGCUUAUGAGUCCAGGGGUCCCCAGCCCAGCACUAGCUACAGUCCCCACCUCGUGCACACAUCGGAACAGCUCCCAGUGGAAGGCAGUAAGGCCUAGCACACUACUUGGCACAUGGUAGGUGUAGGUCAUCUGCUUGUUUGCUGAAUUUUGCCGACAAGGACUUCACAGCCUGGGAGGGAGACAGACGUGUAUGCCGUUAGAAGUAGCGACUUCUAACACGAGGCUGGAGGUGUUGGGUGAUAUAACAAAGGGAGCCCUGGAUGGUUUUGGAAUAGGAGCAUGAUGUCGUCAAAUGGGAAGGAACUCUCUGGUGUCAGCAUAAGAAGGGAGAGGAUGCAAGACCAUGAGCUGAAGCCCUGGGCAAGAGGCUGUGGCAAUAAUACAGUCACACACACAGAGAGAGAGGCAGAGGGAGAAGCAGGCUCCAUGCACCAGGAGCCCGAC